GGGGGAAGUGACUCAAGGCCAGAGGCGGACAGGCCCAUGGCAGGCGGAGUGGGGGGAGCGCGGGGAAUGGGUGACCCCGGACCGACUGGCGGCGCACGGGACAGGGCGAGGGUGCCGGCGCCCCCAGAACGCCGGGGACGAACCGCGAGGGGAGGCCCAGCUGCUGAGCCCUCCGGGACAGGGGUCUGACAUCUGGACGGAGUGGGAAAACAGCAUCCUGCCCUUGGGGAGUCGGGAGGAGCCCAGUCCCAUCCAGCUGUGCAAACAGGAGGAGGAGGAGGUCCCAAGCCUACCCUUGGGAGAGGGGCUAGAGGGGUGGUAAAGCCGCCGCCGCCGCGCCGGCCCCCGCGGUGCGGGUUGCGCCAGCCUCCCCGGAGCCCGACGCAGAAACUUGUUGCAAACAAACAGGCGACCGCGGGUGCCCCUAGCAGCCAGCGGCGGAGUGGGUGGGCGGGCGAGAGGGAGGGGAAGGCUGGCGGACGCCGCAGCGAACUGGUGGGCAGACCCGGAGUCGCCGCGUAAGCGGGGCCGGCUCAGUGCGGUGCGGCAGGCGCGGCUGUGCGGCAGCGGAAGUCCUUUGUUGCAGCACAGUCCCUGGCAGAGCCAGAGCCUCUCCGCGCAGCCCAGCCCGAACGCCGCGCGCCGCCGCCACUGCAGCUCGCGGCCCCUUCGCCUCCGCCCGCCUUUCCCGUGGCUGAUUUGCCUUAAACUCCCUAAAACCUCCGCAGCCCCGGUUCCUGCUGCGGCCGGUCUCUAAUUAAUAGAAGAUGGCAAAGCCCAGCCACAGCAGCUACGUCCUUCAACAGCUAAACAACCAAAGGGAAUGGGGUUUUCUCUGUGACUGUUGUAUUGCAAUCGAUGACAUUUACUUCCAAGCACACAAAGCAGUUCUGGCUGCCUGUAGCUCCUAUUUUAGAAUGUUUUUCAUGAACCAUCAGCACAGUACUGCGCAACUGAAUCUCAGCAACAUGAAAAUUAGCGCCGAGUGUUUUGAUCUCAUUCUGCAGUUUAUGUAUUUAGGAAAAAUCAUGACUGCUCCCUCUAGUUUUGAGCAGUUUAAAGUGGCAAUGAACUAUCUACAGCUGUACAAUGUUCCUGACUGCUUAGAAGACAUACAGGAUGCAGAUUGUUCCAGUUCCAAGUGUUCAUCUUCUGCUUCAAGCAAACAGAACAGCAAGAUGAUCUUUGGGGUAAGAAUGUACGAAGACACAGUGGCUAGAAAUGGCAGUGAGGCCAAUAGGUGGUGUGCAGAACCCAGUUCAACCGUAAAUACACCACAUAACAGAGAGCCCGAUGAAGAGUCUUUACAAUUAGGUAAUUUUCCGGAACCACUGUUUGAUGUCUGUAAAAAAAGUUCGGUGUCCAAAUUAUCUACUCCAAAAGAACGCGUGUCACGACGCUUUGGACGGAGUUUUACCUGUGACAGCUGUGGAUUUGGCUUUAGCUGUGAAAAGUUAUUAGAUGAGCAUGUGCUAACCUGUACUAACAGACAUUCGUACCAAAACACAAGAUCCUACCACAGAAUAGUGGAUCUUAGAGAUGGAAAAGACAGUAAUAUCAAAGCUGAGUUUGGUGAAAAGGAUUCUUCUAAAACAUUUUCUACGCAGACGGACAAAUACCGAGGAGACCCGAGCCAGGCGGCCGAGGAUUCGACUUCAACCCCUGGAAGCAGAAAAAGUAGCACCGUGGAGUCUGAGCUAGCCGGCGAAGAAAAAAGCAGAGCUGCCGAAAGGAAAAGAAUCAUUAUCAAGAUGGAGCCAGAAGAUAUUCCUACAGACGAACUGAAAGACUUUAACAUCAUUAAAGUUACUGAUAAAGACUGUAACGAAUCCACUGACAACGACGAAUUAGAAGAUGAACCUGAAGAGCCAUUUUAUAGAUACUAUGUUGAAGAAGAGAUCGGUAUUAAAAAAAGUGGUAGGAAAACUCUAAAACCUCGGAUGUCAAUAAGUGCUGAAGAAAGAGGAGGUUUAGAAAGUAUGAGGCCCCCUAACAACAGCAGUCCGGUACAAGAGGAUACCGAAAAUGCGUCUUGUGAGCUGUGCGGACUCACAAUCACCGAGGAGGACCUGUCAUCCCAUUACUUAGCCAAACACAUUGAAAAUAUCUGUGCGUGUGGUAAAUGCGGACAGAUCCUUGUUAAGGGCAGACAGCUUCAGGAACAUGCGCAGAGAUGUGGAGAACCCCAAGAUCUGACAAUGAAUGGCUUAGGAAAUGCCGAGGAGAAAAUGGACAUGGAAGAGAAUCCUGAUGAGCAGUCAGAAAUAAGAGAUAUGUUUGUUGAAAUGUUGGAUGAUUUCAGGGACAAUCAUUUCCAGAUAAACAGUAUCCAAAAAAAGCAGUUAUUUAAACACUCUGCCUGUCCUUUCCGAUGUCCGAAUUGUGGCCAGCGUUUUGAAACUGAGAACCUAGUGGUUGAACAUAUGUCUAGCUGCCUAGACCAAGAUGUGUUUAAGAGUGCCAUCAUGGAAGAAAACGAGAGAGAUCACAGACGAAAGCAUUUUUGUAAUCUGUGUGGAAAAGGAUUUUAUCAGCGGUGCCACUUAAGAGAACACUACACUGUUCACACCAAGGAAAAACAGUUUGUCUGUCAGACAUGUGGAAAGCAGUUUUUAAGAGAGCGUCAGUUGCGACUGCACAAUGAUAUGCACAAAGGCAUGGCCAGCAAACUCAAGCACAUACUACUUGGUAACAUAUCAGAAGAGUCUUAUACUAAAACCAGAUGAAAUGUAGCUACUUAUAAAUUUAUAUGCUGGCAAGAAGCAAAGAUGCAAGGAUUUAAAAUGCAAGGCCUUUUAUGUCUUGGUGAAAUAGGGCCUUCUAAACCUCUGGAGAAGUGAGAUCUGAAUUUGGAGAGGACAUGGGGAAGAAUCAAUCUUCAACAGAUAAUCUUUAAGUCCAGACCCAGGAAUAUCAGAUCUGAAGUGACACCAUCUUUUCUGUCUUCCUGACAAACCUCAUCAAUCCCAAAGGUUCCAGUUUCAAGGAUCCAAGAAAACUCAGUAAAGAUCACUUUGGAAUCACUUUGCUGUGACAAAAUUGAUUCACAGUGACUCUCCUAGUAUUUGUGGAAAAUCUGCUAAAGAAAAGUAACAGAAUAUUCAUAUGGCAUCAGUGGUUAAAGCUACACUAAAAUGAGACUUUAUAUGCUAAUUAUCUUCCAUGGUCCCUUCUAAAAUAAAAGGGGUUGCUAGGCUACUAUAAAUAUAUUAUAAAGAGAUAAUAACGCAUCUGUGUAAACACAUAUAAUCCUAAAAUUAAAAUAAUCUCAAUCACAGUUUGCAUAUUAUGAAAUGUAGUUAGACAAUUAAAAAAAUUACACUCCAAAAUCUACAGUUUAGAGUAUAAAUAAAGAGAUGUGGGUACAGAGAAAAAAACAAUGAGACCAAUUUUUUAACAAGAAAAGAUAAUCUACUUUUUACUCGUUGUAAUGUAACAUUUGCCCUUCCUCCUUUUUCGCUGUAUAUACUCGUCACAAACUUGAUUAUUAAUAUUAAUGAAGCUCCCUUUAAGCCUGUUAACUCAAAGGAAAACCAAAGUGGUUAUUACUUCAAUAGUAGAUUUUCAUAAAUCACAGACAACAAAAAGAAUGUAUCUUAAGACGCAUUAUUUUCUUCUGAAUUUAGCAAUAUAACCUAAUAAGGUAGAAUGAGUUUCUGUUAAAUAUUUAUUCUCAGUAUUAACAUAUAAUACCAUAUUUCUCAGCUUUCAAAUUUCAAGAUAAAAUUUAACUAAGUAUUGAGUGAAACGAUUGAUGUGUUUAAAAAAAAAACAAAACACCUUUCACCGGGAAAUGAAAUGUUUGAGGAGAUUUUAACCUGGCUUCAAAUACUUUGUUUUAUAUAUAUAUAUAUAUAUAUAUAUAUAUAUGCUCAUACACACGUUUCUUAACCAUAUGAAUCUUACAGCCAUACUAUUUCCUUAUUGUGAGAUACUCAUAGUUUUAUUUUUGUUUAACUGUCUAUCCAAUUCAUUAUUAUUAUUGUUUCUUAUGCAAUAUCCUGAUGUUAUAUAUUUCCAGAAAUGCUUAUUUUGUUUUUAUGCCUAUUUCUUCAAAUGUUUUAGUAAAGAAUUACACAAAGAAAUCUAACUUAGAGUAUAUAUAAUAGUAUAUGCAAAAGUUAAGUCAUUUAAAAUCUCUAGCUAUAAAGUGGGAUGAUAACUUGAAUAUUCCUUCUAAUAAUUAGACUAACAAAAACUUAGAUAAAAUUAAUUAGAAUGAAAGUUAAUUAGAAUGUGGUAGUGGGUAUAGGGGCCUGAAGGGAUAGGAGAAAUAAAGACUUCGAGUUCAUACGAAUUCAACUGCCUUAAGAGAAAUAAGUUUAGAAAAGUGUUAGAUUCUAAAAAACAAAAACAAAGUAAAAAACUAUAGCUAAUCUCUUGGGAAGCAUAUGAACCUGCAGACUUAUAACAAGUAGGAAACAGACAAGAUAAAAGAUUACCGGUAAUUAAAGGUGCCAGAUCGAUACAGUAGAGACUCAACAAAUAAUGACUGUAGAAGUAGAUUUAGAAAAGAAAUAUGGCUUAAAUUUUGACUGUACUAAACUAUAACUGUAAUGAAUUACAAUAAUUAUAAGUGAUAUAAAUGCAUUCUACAAUGUGAUUAUUUUCUGUAUGUUAGUAUGAAAUGGAGUUACUGAGUUACAUGGAAAAUUUUUGUUACAUAUCUUAAUCCGUUGCUUUUACCUAAUAAAAUUUCCUCCUCUAUGUUCAGAAGUUAAA